CUGUCAGCACUUGGGGUGACAUUCCCUGCGCCGCGCGGGUGGCUGGCGAUUUUCACUUUUUAUUGCUGGAGGAGGUUAUUCUAUACAAGGAAAAAAGAAGAAAAGCCUUUGUAAAUUUCACAGAGGUUUUUUAGAAUAUAGUGCCGAAAAGGCAAUUUGUUUGGUUUUUGUUUUGUGAUUGCUGAGUUUUUUAGCAUUCAGGUGGAUGCUCUUUCUUUAGUACAGAUUUAUGUUCUAAAGAGAUACUUGAUUUCUUUGACCAUAUCUGAGAUCAUAGCUUACAACUACUACCUAUACACACCUGUGUUUCUAUUUCUGCUGCAGCUUCCUGUCCUUGACCCAGCGAUACAUUGUGAAGUUCUCCUGAGUCAAUGAAUCCUGGUAAAAUGCAGUAAAGGAUUUAAGGUUAUCGUCUGUCUCUCUCUAACUUCUGACAUCUCUUUAUAACAAGAAAGAGUCACAGCCAACUGUAACAGGAGGGCAACACAAUGAAUCCUGAGUCAAGACCUUUUCUGCUCCUCACACCCUUCCACCAGCGAUGAGGCUGAAGGUGCACAAAAAGUUGAGAGGACAGCAGCUGGGGCAGCUGACCCUAAGUGACCAAAGGGAUAUUCCCUGCCAUAUGGCAUCAUGCUCUCUGUAUGAAAUAGAGAUGGAAGUUGGCUGGGGACUGCAGCUCGAGGAACAACUGGGCAUUGUUUUGGUGGUGGUUAAUAUUUUCAUCCUAGUCCUGGUUCAUAUGCAUGUAGGCUUUGGGCUCCUCUGCUCUGUACCCGUUUAUCACCCUUUUCAAAGGGAAGAAGGAAACUCUUGCUACGGGUGCAGAACUUAGAAGAGAUCUGUGCCGAAUAAGAGCGAGAACGCAGCUGCACAAGACUCAGCAUACUUCUCACAGACAAAAUGCAGUGAAGGAAAAGAUGACACUUUAAACUAAAUGAGAGAUCAUUAUACAACACUCUUUCCAUUCAGCUCGUUCUAGGGGGAAUAUAUACAUGUGGCAGCAGCACUCAGGACAUGAAGAGCUACUUUGAAAGUUGAUGCGUUUCCCAGUGUUUGAGAUGAAGAUGGAAAGUAGAGAGUGAGAAAAUUGGCUGUCCCUGCAGAGGUGCCCCCCAGCCACAAUAAUACUUGUGAAGCCGUCAUACUUUUCUACCCUGAACAAGAAAGCAGCCUGGACUGGUUCAGAGCAAACGCAGUUUGUAGGAAGCAUUUCAGACUGAUGUUCUUCCCUGGUGAGGGAGUUUUCCAGGGGCCUGGCAGAGCCAGCUGGCAGCAUGAACAGCUCAAGCUACAGCAAGGAGACCCAAGCAGAACUACACAAAUUUGUCCAUAUUCCCUUGUGCUGUGCUGAAUUGGGAAGGCAUGCAAGGGAGACCUGAAAACCUUAAGGCAAAGGACUGCUCUGUGGGCUGUUUGGCCACACAAACAGAGAGAAACAUACUGUCCAUAAAUGAGGAGGAUUUUAAAGCACCCUGUGACUGGAAAUAUAUGCAAGUGUAACUGAUAUCCCCUGAUGACAUUUGCUUACUUGUAAGGGUAUAUUUAUCUCUUAAUUAAAUUUGAUAUCAUCCCCAUUUAAUAAUACAAUGACUUUGAACAUCCAUUUCCUGGUUUGUGUGUCCAGUGACUGCUUGCACAAGAUACAGAGUCAUGUGCAUCAGCACAGAAGAAAGGAACAGCAUACAUCCUGCAGAGCGGGAAAAUGCCUUCAUUAACUUUUCAGUAUCCACAGCUUUCUCACGGAGAGGUGCACAUCCCAUGGCCAGAUGUAACUGCAGUCAGCUGUGGCCACUCCAAGCUGGAAUGAGUGUCUGAGCAUCCUGCUCACUAAUCCUUCCACUGCAGUGCCUGUCUUCUGGCUGGUCUCUUGGGUGAGUGCUUCAACAGCUCCUUGUAAUCCUGGGCUCCAGUUAAUAAUAUAAACAGUGGCACAAUUUUCAACAAGUUAGCAGCAUAAGGAGUUGUGGAAAAAUGUGCCAGGGAAAGCUUCGUUUAUAUGAUAUGUAUAAUGGAGCUCUAGAAUACCCCUCUCACAGACUUUAUUUUAAAUAAAUUGAAAAAUUUUGUGGUAAUUUAAAAAGUUUUAUUUUAUUUUCCUCAUGAUGGAGACACAGUGAUUCUUGGAGGGAAAACACAUACACAUGGAUAUAUUUACCAUGGAUAAAUAAAUUGAAAAAUAAAGAUUAUGAAAUAAAUACAGUUGGUUUGGUUUAGACUCAGAGGAGCCAAAUUCAGCAUCAAAAUGAUUUAGUACUAUAGCUGAUCUAAUUAUUUUAGUUGUUUUUCUUUGCUUGUAUUUUUGCUACUGUGUCUUGUUUACAGCUUCUCAGCCAGAAGAAUAUCCUGAAGCAAAUAUCUGUCAGAAGCCAAAAAAAGUAUCCAUAAUUCAUCCUAACGCACUGUCAACUUAAUUUUAAAGUAAUUUUUCUGCUUUAUGAGUUCUGGCUGAAGUGGUAAGUUUUCAAAUCCAUAAAUCAAACCAUAGGAAAUAAUGGAAAUACAUACCUCUCUUUAAAAUAUUCUGUUUUCCUAUUCCAUUGUGAGCAUAGUUUUUAUUAAUUAAAACUUCAGUCACUAGGAAGAGAAGAAAGAAAAAAAUUAUGGACUGUAUUCUUUAAAACUGUACACAUCUGAGCUGUGACUCCAGAACCAUCUCUUGGGCUAUAGAGAAGUUUUUCAAGGUUUAUAAUAGCAGAAAUUAAUUUAGAUUGUGUAUUCCUGUGAGCACUCUGAGGAGCACAUGUGUGUGAGUUAGGCUGAGCCUGUUGAGGCCUGUAAAAGGCACUCUGUGCUGUGAGGUCUCCUGCACCUGCAGGUGCUGGUCUGGGCCCUGUGCAGGUGUGCAGACUCUCACAAAAUGUCCUCAUUUUCCAAGUGUUUCCAAACUGACCUCACACAUCUCAAAUAACAGUGAAGCUGAUUCGAGUUCUUUAGCUGUAAGAGACACAUCAGAGAGUGGGUGUGGAAGCCUUCUGUGGAGAAUCAGUGAAAAUCUGGUGAGGCCUGUGAAACCUCGAGUACAGGAACAGCAGCCUGGCAGCAAGUGUGAGCAUGGCCUUGUUUGUGCUCUUCUGCACACUGGGGAAAAAUCGUGCAGAAUUCCUUGUCCCAGGACUCAGUUCAUCAUCACAGAGGGAGUGGAGCCCCAGUGUGUAUUCCAGCUCAGAGCUGCCACCAGCAGCUACUGAAUAGCACCACGUUCUGAAUCUCAACACACCAUGAAAAUCCUCCUUUAAUCAAAUGCUCCCGGGGGAGCAAGAAAUUCAAGAUGCACUUCCAGCCUGGGCUGGUGCACACCACUAGGUCAGUACUUGGCAUUAAGAGCUUCCUGCUUGUCGGUGCAGUGGAGGGGGGGUUCAAGGGACACUCUAGCAAGCAAAACCAACAGGCAGCACAUGAGGUAACCUGAGGGCAGCAAGAAAGAAGAGGCAAAGGUACAGGACUGAGUAGGGCACUGUGGUGGCUGGAUUAGAAAGCAUUUUGCUUCUCAGCUUGAGCUGUUUAAUUAAGGAAUUUCACAGUAAUUUUGACUAAGCUUAACGAGUAACAAAUUCAGUGCUCUGGCUCACUAAAUUCUUUCUUGCAGUCUAAAUAAGCUGCAGAUCUUGGAGCUGGAGGAAUUCAAUGCCUUAACAGCACUUUCUCUCCAGCCUGCACUGUAGGUAAGUGCUGUCCUGUGGCAACCUUUUUGGGGUCAAGUGAUUUAGAGAGCUUAGACAAGGCUGGGGUUCAGGAUCCCUAUAUUCAGAUACAAUCCUGAGUAGCAGAGGCUGUGAGGAAAUAUUUUCUGACAUUUACUAGAGGGGCAGGGGAGGGAAGGGAGCACUCAGCUCUAGGAGAGAUAGUAGGUACAGCUAAACUAGAAGGAGGGGAAGGACUCAAGAAUAUAAUGAGGAGGUGGGGGAAAUGACACUGGAAUAAAAGGGUGAGUAUAUGAGAUACACACUCAUCCUGGCCUUCCUCUGUUCAAAGCACUCCCUUCAAGGGUGGGUAUAAGACUUGAAUAGAGGGGAUGGAUGUCAAAAUAUUUCCAUAAGGAAUAUAGUGCAAUAAAUCAGAGAAAAAGGGCAGAAUGGAGGCAAGGAGCAAACGGUGGGAGAAUUAUUUUAGUUCUAAGUGAAUGAUUAUGUCUCCUGAGUGAUUACACAUCAGGAUGGUGGUGUGUUGGGGAAGAUUGUUCAGCUAGAUAGGAAGGAGUGCUCAAAUUGCAGUCAUUGAACUGUAGUUCAUGCAAGGGUGCAAAUAAGAUAAGAAAAAUAGACAAGUAAAAAUCCAGCUGGAGUCAACGUGUUUUGGGCACUGCAAUCCUUGUGAGUUAAUGUAACUAUCAUACAGGUGCAGGAAGAGUUUUCAGAAGAAGCUACUUUGAAUACUUGUAGAACAUAAUCAGAGAGAGACCUGAUGAAGAAAAUAAGACUAUUAAAAAUACUCUGAAAAUAACUUGCAAGUACUGGGUUAAGUACAAGAUGAAUAAUUUCUUCCAAGUUUCUGCCAGAACAGGACCACCAGCAAGAAAUACCUGCAGUAUGACAGACAGCUAUAGAGUCAUCCCAGUACAGGGCUGGUGAAAAACAAGAGAUACAAUGCCAGUAUAUGGUAUCCCAUUCAAUAUACUGUGAUGAAUGGAAAGCAGGAAAGGGCUUGAGCAGAGUUGUUAUGGUUACUGGGGCAUUAACACCUUGGGCAAUAUCAGGCAUUCAGAAGAAAGAGAGUUGCCAUGUUUCCUUCAUAGCUCUGCAUCAGUUUUACUCUCACUAGCACUGGUCCCUUUUUUAUUCAAAUAAAUAAUUUAUAUAUUGAAACAGCUGUGACUCUUACCCAGUUUUUCCCCAGUGCUGAGGUUUGAUCUUAUGGCAAUGAUGACUGUAAAUGUAAGACCAAGGACUUUUUAUGUGGCCAUAUUUUUGCCAGGCACUGCUGCCACUUUUCUAUUUAGCAAUUGUUGUAGCACUUAGUGACUGGAUCGAGGCCCUUUGUUCCUGUGAUAGGGAUCUGGAAUAAUAAAGGCUAAAUUUUAAAUUUCUACUUACAGAAGUUGGUAUGUCUUAGAAUUAAUUCACUUUUCUUUUUGGCAAAAAGCAGUGUCAUUGGGGAAAACUUAUUUAUCCUCACUUCACCCAAAAUUCAAGAGAUAAAAAAAGAUGGGGAUUCCUGCACUGAAUCCAACAGUCCUUCUUUGGCCUCCAGUAGGUUAUUGGGAACUUAGUAGUGGGGAAGUUCUGAACUCAUCUUUGCUCUAUGUGGAGCAAAGUCAGCAAGUACAAUGUGAACCAUUGCCAGUUAUUCUUUCAGAUGUUUCAAGUUACAGCUAUAUUGCUUUAUUUAUGCUUGUAUUUUAUCUCCAGGUGUUUUAUGAGAACAUGGAGCUGCAUAUCACAGUACAUUUUUUCCAUGGGUUAAGGGAAACUGUUCUAACACUCCCAGCUUCUGCUGCCCAGUCAUUCUCUCUUUGUAAUUAGCAUGAAGACUACCCUUCAGUCAAAACUAGCCACCUGGAAAGUUUCAGCUUGUAAUAUGCAGCUUUUUUUGUGAAUUAUGAAUGUGCAAAAAAGAGACCUUUCUCCUCACACCCACUUCCUUGCAUAAUUCAAAUAUGAAUGAAUGAAUUUUAUUCAGGCUUGCCAAAAAAAUUAUAUUUCAGCUGAUAACAAGCAUGAAAAAUUUCAGAUGAAAGGGAUUUUUUUUUUUAAGAAUAUUCUGAGCAUGGGAGAACAGCAGGUUAAGACAGAAGUCUCAGUGCAGCCUUAACUAUAACAAUUGCUAUCAAGCAAAUACCAUAUCCAAGCACUAAAUCUUGCUUUGUGCUGCCCUAGUGCACAGUAGCAGGGACAGAGUAGAAUAAUAAAAGCUGGUAAGCUGGUCCCCUUAUGCAAACAGCAGGGCACAGCACUUGAGAGAGUACAAGGAGAAGGUGUUCUGCCUACUGUUCUGGCUUGCUAACCAUGUUCCCAAGGUCUGUGGGUUAGUUGUCUCCUCUAGCUCCAGUCAGAUAGCAAAAGAUACUUCAAACACUAGCAAAGGGAAUGUGCUGGUCCUUUCCAGAAGAACAUUUUACUAAUCCUUUGCCUCCAAAUGUACUGUUCUAUUAAAUAAAGUAUUUGAAGGAAUUUGUAUAAGCAGCAUCAUGGUUUAAUGGGUCAAAAAGGGAAUGGAAUCAGUGCUAGGCAUUUUUGUGAUUACCCCUGUAUUUUAAAAAUAUAUAUCUGUGAAGAAGGUAUUAUCUGUGCAAAGAAGAAUGAGAUUUGGGCUCAUGCCAGUACCACUUUGAAAAAAAAACUAUCACAGUGAAGAAAUGUUACCAUCUGGAGCAUUUCUGCAUCAUAUUUUGUCUUGUUCCUAAUAAUGCCUUGGUGAUAAGUCCAGGUCUCCUUUUCUACUCAGAAAACAGGAUUAAAACUCCCAUUCAUUUACUAUGUGUUUGUUAAAAAAAAUGCCCAUUACAGUGGCUAAGCAGCAGUGAAUACUAAAGUAUUACCUUGCAG